rnacentral:rRNA from 1 species
GACGUAGGGCGCGAGCGUUGUCCGGAUUUAUUGGGCGUAAAGAGCUCGUAGGCGGCUUGUCGCGUCGUCCGUGAAAACCUGCAGCUCAACUGCAGGCUUGCGGUCGAUACGGGCAGGCUAGAGUUCGGUAGGGGAGAGUGGAAUUCCUGGUGUAGCGGUGAAAUGCGCAGAUAUCAGGAGGAACACCGGUGGCGAAGGCGGAUCUCUGGGCCUGUCCUGACGCUGAGGCGCGAAAGCUAGGGGAGCGAACAGG